UCUGUGGGAAGUGCGAACUGGGCCUGCAUGGUCACGACGAGUCAGCCGACAUUUUUGAGACGAUGUACGAGGGCGACACCAGGCUGAAAAGACACUACGAUUCGGUCUUCAAACAGCUCGCUCCUCCGCGUCCCCAAAACCAAGCUCUGCACCAUGGGCGACCCGGCCUUUUGCUCGGCAGCGCCACGCUUAUGGAACAGCCUCCCUGACCACCUAAGGGCAACGCAGACGCUGGACUCCUUUAAAGCUGGACUAAAAACAUUUUUAUUCAGGAAGGCAUUUCUGGCCUUGUGUUAAAUCAACUAUGCAUCCCUCUCCCUGUGUGUGAGGAGAAAGGAGGGGCUGAGGUUACCUGAAGUGCAUUCUAUUAGUCUGUAGGAAGGCAAUGAUCGAGAUGAGGAAAUAUAGCCUGACAAUAUUUCCCAGGGAAUUACACCCAUAGGGUGUGCUUGUUUUGAGUUUAAUUUCUCUGCACACACACCAAGGACUCUGAACACUUCAAGCAGGACAACUAUGGGACUGUGUAAGUAGCCUAACCCAACCAACAAGUAUUCAAAUUCAAUCAAUUUGCGUUUUUAUGACAUAUUGAAGUUAAAAUACCCAAUGACUUAAGUACUUGCAUUAUUGUUUGGUACAGUGACUAUUGUGGCAGUAUCGUUGGGAACAAGUUAGUUUAACAAAUUUUUCCUGUAUAUUUUGACAUCAGCCACAUAAAAAAAAUGAUUUAAAUGAAGAUCUGAUGUAGUGUUACUCUAAUAGGUAAUAUGUCAUUUGAAUAGAAAUACUAGCUUGGUACUGCUGGAAUAUUCUCUUCUCUUUAUUUUUCCUCACUAUCUUCUCUUCACUCACAAUAUAAGCACUUUAAUAAAU
ensembl:lncRNA